CCAGGUAAUGUUCAAUCCAGCCAAGGGAGCCAGGAUAAUGAAUAAAACAAGUUUUCCCACCCUCCCUGACGUUCAUUCUAGCAGAUGGAGACAGGUGAUAAUGGCUGCACAUCAUUGAGCAAGAGGGACACCAUGGAUAAUGGAAAGAUCUACGGCAAGGCUGGCUGGCUGUCCUCUCUAAGGAGGCCAUACUGGACCAUCCUGCUCUGCUCAUCCAGAUGUGUCCACAAAUACAUCCAUAAAACAGUGGCCUGUGGGAUCCUAUAGGAAAAUGAUCCAGAAGCAGGGCGGUCAGAAGGAACAAACACUUGAUUUACAUAGUAAAUCUUCUAUAUUUAUGUUUUAAAGACACACAGAGGAAAAACAUUUUUAAAUUCAUGAUUUUUUUCCCCCAGAUUUUAACUAUUGUAAUCUCUUUCUUCCUGAGCCUUAGGCAUCUUCAUUAUAAACCAAAAGACAUAACUUGAGAUUUUCCCAGCGUUUAUAUGCUUCAUUCUUGUUAGAGUUAGAGAUGUGAAAUAGCAAUUUGUGAUGUCUCUUUAGAGCCAAAAACCUUAGAAAAAUAUAAUGUACUUUCUC
rnacentral:lncRNA from 13 species